rnacentral:lncRNA from 1 species
UGGCUCCAGUGUUCGUCGCAGCAGCAAUUUGCCACAAUGAGCGACAACAAGUUUAUUUGCUGUUUGACGCCCGCAGGUGUCAUAUACUGAUUUUACCAUUUCCUUUGCACCCACUCUUGAUCGACCAUGCUUUCCUGCACAUCACAUAAAAUUAAGUGUACUUAGGAUUGGUUUAGUGCGGUUGCAAUAGUUCUGCACCUGGUAUAUCAUGCAGUAGCCAGCUCUAUUUUUCUUUCUUUUCAACGCAAUUGAUGGUUCAGUUUACUUCGUCGUGAGGGCCUGAAAUCAAUGUUUAGUAAUAAAAUUUAGUGAUUGUCCCAUGUAAACUUGAUUUUGUGGUUGCAGGUUUAUUGUCUGUCUUGGGUGGUCAUUGUAGCAGUAGUGUGUGUACUGGACAGCCUUCAGCCACCAUCGUUUACCUCCGUCUCACCGACCAGCCGCCGUCGUUUACCUCAUGUCUCGUUGGACCGCCCGAUAGCACAGUCGCCUAACUCUGUCUCGUCGGGCAGCCACCGCCGUCUACUUCUGCCUCGUCGUUAAUUGUGUGCUAGCAAUUCAUCUCGAGAACUUGUUAGGUUAUUCUAACUCGGCAAUGUAACCAUGAUCUUGUUUUCUGUAUAUGGAUUUUUUUUGUGAUUUUUAUUUUCAUUUUAUUUUUCAUGGUGCUACCAUGAUUUAUUUUAUUUUCAGGUAUAAUUUGUGAACAUUUUAUUUAUUUUUCCCUAAUGGUC